rnacentral:rRNA from 1 species
CGACCGGCGCGCGGGUGAGUAACACGUAUGCAAUCCACCUGUAACAGGGGGAUAACCCGGAGAAAUCCGGACUAAUACCCCAUAAUAUGGGCUCUCCGCAUGGAGGGUCCAUUAAAGAGAGCAAUUUUGGUUACAGACGAGCAUGCGCUCCAUUAGCCAGUUGGCGGGGUAACGGCCCACCAAAGCGACGAUGGAUAGGGGUUCUGAGAGGAAGGUCCCCCACAUUGGAACUGAGACACGGUCCAA